UUCAUUAUUUAUUUAGAAGAGCAUUUGCAUAUUUCAAUACUGCGUCUCUUAUAUCAUGCUGGGGAUGACAACUUGGCUUAAGUGUUGUGAGGGAUAGGUUUGGCAUUUUUGGCACCGUUACUAGAUUUAGAGAACUUAGUCUACUUUUGGUAAUGAUGUUAAGAAUACCCAACAGUCGGAAGCAGCUGAAAGAAAUGCAUCGGUAGAUCCCAAGCAUCAGGUC
rnacentral:lncRNA from 1 species